UAUUUAGCUAAGAUAAAGACACGCCUUUAUUCGUUAUGAUUGUAGAGAGCAAUGAAGUUUUUGGUGAAACAUUGUAUGAAUAAGAAUUUAGGUAUCCCUUUUGAGCUGAUCUUACGAAAUCAUAGUAGUUUGAUCCGGUUGAACCGUUAUCUCAUGAAAGUGCAUAGUGAAAACUAUGAAGUAAGGUGGUACCGCGUGUUUAUUACGUCCUUUUU
rnacentral:ncRNA from 1 species